GAAAUUAUUUUAGAAUUAAAAUAAUUUAAUUUAUUUUUUCUCAAAUUGUUGCUCGUUAAUUACCGUCUGCUAGUUUAUUAAAUUGUCGUCUGUUUUCGUAGAUAAACGUGUCAUCGAUAUUGUUACACUUGGCUGAUCUGAACUGGUUCCUAUUGACACUGGUACUCAGUCGAUAUAAUAUAAAUACCAAUAAUCUCGUGCAGUUCUCUCACAGUUUGCUAGCUACACCGUCGGUAACGUCAAAACUAUUUACAUGUUUUGAUUUAUCAUCGCAAUGCCUCGUGGUCAAAGGCGGGAACUGAUAUUUCGGAGGAAUCCUUGCAACAGAAAUAUUCUGCAGUAUGCUCCUCAGGACAAUGGCAAGAGGGAUGCUAGGUGCAGAUGCCUUAGAAGAGAAUGUUGUUGACGGUGUUACUAAUCUUCUGCCGGGUUAAACCGUGCCAAAGUAAAUUGAUGAGGGUGAUAUACCGGAGAGCAAUAACACUGCAGGAGAUAACACAUCCAGCCAUCAAAAUGUAUGACGGGGCUAGAUGUCAUCUUGUUACGUGACCAAGGACUUCCAAAUGUGAGAUGUUCAUACCGUGUUAUGAAGAAAAAACUGAGACAUUUUGAUGCAGU